rnacentral:rRNA from 1 species
CCAGACUCCUACGGGAGGCAGCAGUAGGGAAUCUUUCACAAUGGGGGAAAGCCUGAUGGAGCAACGCCGCGUGCGGGAUGAAGGCAUUCGGGUUGUAAACUGCUAUUAUAAGCGAGGAAUAUGAUGGUACCUUAUGAAUAAGGAUCGGCUAACUACGUGCCAGCAGCCGCGGUCAUACGUAGGAUCCGAGCAUUAUCCGGAGUGACUGGGUGUAAAGAGUUGCGUAGGUGGCAUAGGAAGUAGCUAGUGAAAACUGGUGGCUCAACCAUUCAGACUAUUAGCUAAACUGCUAAGCUCGAGACCGUUAGGGGUAACUUGAAUUUCUAGGGUAGGAGUGAAAUCCGGAGAUAUUAGAAGGAACACCGAUAGCGUAGGCAGGUUACUGGGACGGUUCUUACACUAAGGCACGAAAGCGUAGGGAGCAAACGGGAUUAGAUACCCCAGUAC